AGGCAACGGGGGGAUCCAAUGCGGUGCUGAUACAUCUCGGGGGUACAGCCUUAGAGAAUUAUUCACCCUUGUCUUUUGCGUACUUCUUGUUUCCUUGGUGGGUUCGCCCACCGGAAGGACAAACAUAAACCUUUUGUAAUUGCAAUCAGCGUCAGUAACAAAUUAAUAAUUACAACUUUCAACAACGGAUCUCUUGGUUCUGGCAUCGAUGAAGAACGCAGCGAAAUGCGAUAAGUAGUGUGAAUUGCAGAAUUCAGUGAAUCAUCGAAUCUUUGAACGCACAUUGCGCCCUUUGGUAUUCCAAAGGGCAUGCCUGUUCGAGCGUCAUUUGUACCCUCAAGCUUUGCUUGGUGUUGGGCGUCUUGUCUCUAGCUUUGCUGGAGACUCGCCUUAAAGUAAUUGGCAGCCGGCCUACUGGUUUCGGAGCGCAGCACAAGUCGCACUCUCUAUCAGCAAAGGUCUAGCAUCCAUUAAGCCUUUUUUUCAACUUUUGACCUCGGAUCAGGUAGGGAUACCCGCUGAACUUAAGCAUAUCAAUAAGCGGGAGAGAA
rnacentral:rRNA from 1 species